UAUACAAUUGGUGUGGGAAGAUAACAGGGUAGCCUAGCAUACAGACAAAUUCUAAUCUAUAGCCCUUAAUGUGAAGGUAAGAUCAAUAUAAUCUGGUGGAUACACGCCUAUUCCCCGUGCUUCCCUACAGGGUUUCUCUGUGUAGCCCAGGCUGGCCUCUGGGGUGCUGGGACUAAAGGCAUGUGCCACCACACCCAGCUCCUAUUUCCUUUGGUGAUAAAGGGCAGUUUAGCUCUUGCUCUCCAUAAAAUAGAAAAGUAGAAAAUAAUGAGCCAUAUACAUACUUUAUAAUUCAGUUAGUACUGAGCUAACAGAGUGGAGGGAACAAAGAGAAACCAGAGAAUCAGGGCAGAGGCGCUCCAAACCCACUCUUCUAACUAAUACAACUGACCAAGCCUCUGGAGGCCCAGGAACAGAGAAAGAAGCAGCCUCUCUUUCGGAGCCCCAGAAAGAAAACGAAGAAAAAAAGCAGACUCUAGGAUUUCAUAAUUUGUGUAAAAGGCAUGACAUUAAGGUGAUUCUGUUGAAGACCAAAGUUUGAAAACCAUGCUAUAUGGAACAAGGCUACAUCCAUGUUCACAUUGAGGAGGGCUCGCAUGUGCCCACGAGAUCAAGCUGGCACUUCCAAGGGCAUUUGGCUUGGACCCAAGCAAGGGGAGCCAGGUGGUGGCGGCGCACACCUUUAAUUCCA